GACGAACGCUGGCGGCGUGCUUAACACAUGCAAGUCGAACGCUGAAGCUCAGCUUUUGUUGGGUGGAUGAGUGGCGAACGGGUGAGUAACACGUGAGUAACCUGCCUCCUUCUUUGGGAUAACGCCCGGGAACGGGUGCUAAUACUGGAUAUUCACUGGUCUUCGCAUGGGGGUUGGUGGAAAGGGUUUUUCUGGUGGGGGAUGGGCUCGCGGCCUAUCAGCUUGUUGGUGGGGUGAUGGCCUACCAAGGCUUUGACGGGUAGCCGGCCUGAGAGGGUGACCGGUCACAUUGGGACUGAGAUACGGCCCAGACUCCUACGGGAGGCAGCAGUGGGGAAUAUUGCACAAUGGGCGCAAGCCUGAUGCAGCGACGCCGCGUGAGGGAUGGAGGCCUUCGGGUUGUGAACCUCUUUCGCUCAUGGUCAAGCCGCAACAAUGGUUGUGGUGAGGGUAGUGGGUAAAGAAGCGCCGGCUAACUACGUG
rnacentral:rRNA from 1 species